rnacentral:ncRNA from 1 species
CUGACGGUCGCGUUUGGGUAGAUAUAGGUGUUGGACGCCUUGCCCUCCUCAAAAAUGGUAAAGCUGAGGGACGUGUGACCGUCAG